rnacentral:tRNA from 1 species
GCCUGGGUGGCUCAGUCGGUUAAGCAUCCGACUUCGGCUCAGGUCAUGAUCUCGUGGUCCGUGAGUUCGAGCCCCGCUUCAGGCU